rnacentral:snRNA from 1 species
ACCUUCAAAAAUAAGAUCUAAUACUAAAAUUGGAGCGAUACAGAGAAGAUUAGUAUGGCCCCUGAGCAAGGAUGACACGCAAAAUCGUGAAGCGUUCCAUAUUUUU